rnacentral:rRNA from 1 species
UACAGAGGUCUCGAGCGUUGUUCGGAUUCAUUGGGCGUAAAGGGUGCGUAGGUGGCGCUGUAAGUCGGGUGUGAAAUCCUGGGGCUUAACCUCGGAACUGCAUUCGAUACUGCGGUGCUUGAGGACUGGAGAGGAGACUGGAAUUCAUGGUGUAGCAGUGAAAUGCGUAGAGAUCAUGAGGAAGACCAGUGGCGAAGGCGGGUCUCUGGACAGUUCCUGACACUGAGGCACGAAGGCCAGGGGAGCAAACGGG